rnacentral:rRNA from 1 species
UUGCAGUUAAAAAGCUCGUAGUUGGAUUUCGGAGUGGGCCAGUUGGUCCGCCGCAAGGUGUGUUACUGACUGGUUUGCUCUUCUUCGCAAAGACUGCGUGUGCUCUUCAGUGAGUGUGCGUAGGAUUUACGACGUUUACUUUGAAAAAAUUAGAGUGUUCAAAGCAGGCUAUUGCUUGAAUACAUGAGCAUGGAAUAAUGGAAUAGGACUUUGGUCCCAUUUUGUUGGUUUCUAGGGCCGAAGUAAUGAUUAAGAGGGACAAUUGGGGGCAUCCGUAUUUCGUUGUCAGAGGUGAAAUUCUUGGAUUUACGAAAGACGAACAACUGCGAAAGCACUUGCCAAGAGUGUUUUCAUUAAUCAAGAACGAAAGUUAGAGGAUCGAAGACGAUCAGAUACCGUCCUAGUUCUAACCAUAAACGAUGUCCGACUAGGGAUCAGCGGGCGUUAUCGUACGACCCCGUUGGCACCUUACGGGAAACCAAAGUUUCUGGAUUCCCGGGGGAAGUAUGGUUGCAAAAGCUGA